UACAAAAUUAAAUUUUCUAUCUGCUGGUGUAAGGUGUUAUACAAAAUAAAUUGGGGCUCAGUACGAAAUUCGAUGUUAAAAACUGCAGACCAUAAUUAUCACCUGCAGCUGCGCACAGUUUACUGUACUGUUAUCGCUAGCGAACGCCAGCGCUCUCAUUUGAUUGGUUUAACGGCGUGUUCGUUGCUGACGGAGAACAUCCCUGAUUUUUUAAUUUGUUUUGAUUAGGCUUGGAUUAGGCCGAUUAGGCACAUUGGAAUUCGGUUAAAAUUCAAUUUAAAAUUGUGCAGCUUGUUGAUGGUAGAAGUUGUGAAGCGCAUAACAUAAAAGAGUUGUGUAGAGAUUGUAUGGGGUGUUGGCGUUUUUGAAAUUUCCUUUUUCUUGUGCUCUUUUGAGAUCUUUGCAGGGGUUGGAAAUUUGCAAUCACAAUGCCACCAGGAAACAGUGUUUUUUUCAUGCCACAGUUAUGGGCAACACGGCAGGGCAAAGUUUGCCUCAAGUCCUGGCUCGUUCGUAGCCUUGAUUUGCAUUCAAGAAAGCAGGUGUGUGCCCAAAUGGAUGCUGCACAUUUUUUAUAUUCUUCAAAGCUAUCGAGGUUCAUUUGCCGAUUCUGCAUGGAGUAUGCGAAGCAAAGCAGUGUCAUGCUGACGCGGAUACGAAGACGUUGUAUCUGGCGGUGGUUCUGGAGACAGCGCGGUUCGAUCCAGCUGUGGGCCUGACGUCACCCAGCAGAAAUGGCAGCGUGUUAUCACCAGCUACGAGGCGCGCAUACAGACAUUGUCCAGAAACAAUCACGUCAUCUCCAGGCAGUCAGCUGAGUCAGAUCCAGGACCAGCUCCAGAGCCUGAACCUGUCAUUGAAGGCCGUCAGGCACCACCUAUCCUUCACUGUACAAUCCUUCGGUGUUACAAGUUACAACCAGAUUAAUUGCUUUAUGCUCCACUCAGUCUGCUGUUUGACCAUAAUGGGCUGUUUGAAUGGCAUGGCAUAUUGUGUCAUAAGGAAAAAAAUAUAGCAUUGCAGUUAAAGGCCUACUUGCAUGACUAUGCUUCCAGACUCCAGUGAAUGCUCUGAAUAUUUCUUGGUGAGUUAAAUAGAUUACCUUAGGGAUAUUCAGCAUAGGACUUGAAAAUAAUAUGGUCCCUAAUGAGUCAUUAACUCUUUACUGUGUUUCAGAGCGCCACGCGACCACGAUGGUACUGCCAACGAUGGCCUGCUCACCGACAGCUCCCCGCCAGCCGGCGGCGUUCCGCCAGCCAACGGGCUUCCGCCAGCCAACGGCGUUCUGCCCGCCGAUGGUGGCCCGACGACCGACGGUCGCUCGCCGGCCGAAGGUGAUCCUGUAGCCGAACGAGGCUCGCCGACCUACGCCGAUCGACGCCGGCCCGCCCGCCGACGACGCCCUGCCAGCCGACCGCGUCCCGCUCGCCGACGGCGUCGAUACGCCGGCGCGCGUAUCGACAUUGAUCAGAAACGAUCACAUUAUGUCCAGGUCAUUAGUCGCGGGCGCUCGAGCUGACGGUGUCGUCUGACGGCUCCGCGGUGACCAGCGCCGCCUCCGCCGAGAACAUCAGACUCCUGAAAUGCUAAUGGCCGUACACGAACAAGAGGCUCUAAACAUCCAGGUGCAGGAUAAGCGCCAUGCUCAGAGGCGUCAUCUGGAGAAGGCCGCACAGUGCACUUAAGGCUGAGCUCGGGUGUAGUGCGCGCAGACAGAUAUGAUCAACUGACGGGCCGGCCAUCAGAUUUCAGUACGGAACUCAAGAUGAUUGGAGCCGACGUGGUUCGGUUGAUGGUGUGUCAGGGUUGAUUGAGAGUGGAGGCGAGACACCCGGAUCUGUGAAUGAUACGCCGAUACGGAUCUCGACGUCGUCUUGCAAUUUGUGCUAUGUAAUAUGACGGCUAUGCCGUGGUAUCAUUCACUCUCGAUGCGCUUAUAAAUAAUAAAUAGGACAGAGACUGGAAUUAAGAUUAUUAUAUUUGGAUGUAAGGGGCAGGUUUUGGCCAGCUCUAUAUUAGAAAUCGUGAGCGUGCUAGUUGCAAUCAAUCGCGCGCUUCUUGCUGAGCAUCUGUGAGCGAGAAAAUACUUUCUCUGGAACGUUCGUCGUAAAAUAUGUGUAUCUUUGGAAUAAGUUGUCAGAACAUGAAUGCAUUUUUGGUGUCCACUGCAGCUGCUGUUCUGGAACAGAAACAUGCCGAGAUCGGCUGUGUAGGUAUGUACUAUGUACGCUGUGGCAAAAUCAAGCAGCCGUACCAUGAAUCAAAAGCGGUAUGUGAAUUAAAGUGGAUAUAUUUCACUAUUUUUUCAGUUAUAUCAUACAGAUCACAGAAAUGCGUCAAAUACUGAUCACACCCGGUUCCAAACAACUAAACGCUUGCGAUCACUGGAAAGUAAAUAAACAAUAGAUACCCA